rnacentral:rRNA from 1 species
UGGGGAAUAUUGCACAAUGGGGGAAACCCUGAUGCAGCGACGCCGCGUGAGCGAAGAAGGUUUUCGAAUCGUAAAGCUCUGUCCUAUGAGAAGAUAAUGACGGUAUCAUAGGAGGAAGCCCCGGCUAAAUACGUGCCAGCAGCCGCGGUAAUACGGAAGGUUCGGGCGUUAUCCGGAUUUAUUGGGUUUAAAGGGAGCGUAGGCCGUUUGGUAAGCGUGUUGUGAAAUGUAGGAGCUCAACUUCUAGAUUGCAGCGCGAACUGUCAGACUUGAGUGCGCACAACGUAGGCGGAAUUCAUGGUGUAGCGGUGAAAUGCUUAGAUAUCAUGAAGAACUCCGAUUGCGAAGGCAGCUUACGGGAGCGCAACUGACGCUGAAGCUCGAAGGUGCGGGUAUCGAACAGG